UGGGCCAUGGCUCCUGGAAUGGGCUAUGGCUGAAAUCUACAUGGCCCCAGGAUGGGACUGCGGCCGAUCAGGUUGUUGGUGGGGUAAUGGCCCACCAAGCCUAUAACCGGUGCGGGCUCUGAGAGGAGGAGCCCGGAGAUGGGCACUGAGACAAGGGCCCAGGUCCUAUGGGGCGCAGCAGGCGCGAAACCUCCGCAAUGGGUGAAAGCCCGACGGGGUCAGUCCGAGUGGUUCCCGCUGAGGGAACCUUUUGCCAGCUGUAAACAGGCUGGCGAAUAAGGGGUGGGCAAGUUUGGUGUCAGCCGCCGCGGUAAUACCAGCACCCCGAGUGGUCGGGACGAUUAUUGGGCCUAAAGCAUCCGUAGCCGGCCCAGUAAGUCCUCCGUUAAAUCCAACGGCUCAACCGUUGGGCUGCGGGGGAUACUGCUGGGCUAGGGGACGGGAGAGGCGAGGGGUAUUCCCGGGGUAGGGGUAAAAUCCACUGAUCCCGGGAGGACCACCAGUGGCGAAGGCGCCUCGCUAGAACGUGCCCGACGGUGAGGGAUGAAAGCUGGGGGAGCGAACCGGAUUAGAUACCCGGGUAGUCCCAGCCGUAAACGAUGUAGGCUCGGUGUUGGGCUGCCUCAGU
rnacentral:rRNA from 1 species